rnacentral:rRNA from 1 species
AUUGAACGCUGGCGGCAUGCCUUACACAUGCAAGUCGAACGGCAGCGGGGGAGAAGCUUGCCUUUCCUGCCGGCGAGUGGCGAACGGGUGAGUAAUACAUCGGAACGUGCCCUGUAGUGGGGGAUAACUAGUCGAAAGAUUAGCUAAUACCGCAUACGACCUGAGGGUGAAAGUGGGGGACCGCAAGGCCUCAUGCUAUAGGAGCGGCCGAUGUCUGAUUAGCUAGUUGGUGGGGUAAAGGCCUACCAAGGCGACGAUCAGUAGCUGGUCUGAGAGGACGAUCAGCUACACUGGGACUGAGACACGGCCCAGACUCCUACGGGAGGCAGCAGUGGGGAAUUUUGGACAAUGGGCGAAAGCCUGAUCCAGCAAUGCCGCGUGUGUGAAGAAGGCCUUCGGGUUGUAAAGCACUUUUGUCCGGAAAGAAAUGGCUCUGGUUAAUACCUGGGGUCGAUGACGGUACCGGAAGAAUAAGGACCGGCUAACUACGUGCCAGCCGCCGCGGUAA